UACGGGGGGAGCAAGCGUUGUUCGGAUUUACUGGGCGUAAAGGGCGCGUAGGCGGCCACCGCAAGUCGACUGUGAAAUCUCCGGGCUUAACCCGGAAAGGUCAGCCGAUACUGCGGGGCUAGAGUGCAGAAGGGGCAACUGGAAUUCUCGGUGUAGCGGUGAAAUGCGUAGAUAUCGAGAGGAACACCUGCGGCGAAGGCGGGUUGCUGGGCUGACACUGACGCUGAGGCGCGAAAGCUAGGGGGAGCAAACAGG
rnacentral:rRNA from 1 species